rnacentral:tRNA from 2 species
GGUCUGGUGGUCUAGUGGUAUGAUUGUCGCUUCGGGAUUCGUUCCCCAUUUCGGUGAACCGGAUAAUGUGACAGGUCCCGGGUUCAAUCCCCGGCCAGACCC